GACGAACGCUGGCGGCGUGCUUAACACAUGCAAGUCGAACGGAAAGGCCCUGCUUUUGUGAGGUGCUCGAGUGGCGAACGGGUGAGUAACACGUGAGUAACCUGCCCUUGACUUUGGGAUAACUUCAGGAAACUGGGGCUAAUACCGGAUAGGAGCUCCUGCUGCAUGGUGGGGGUUGGAAAGUUUCGGCGGUUGGGGAUGGACUCGCGGCUUAUCAGCUUGUUGGUGGGGUAGUGGCUUACCAAGGCUUUGACGGGUAGCCGGCCUGAGAGGGUGACCGGCCACAUUGGGACUGAGAUACGGCCCAGACUCCUACGGGAGGCAGCAGUGGGGAAUAUUGCACAAUGGGCGGAAGCCUGAUGCAGCAACGCCGCGUGCGGGAUGACGGCCUUCGGGUUGUAAACCGCUUUCGCCUGUGACGAGGCGUGAGUGACGGUAAUGGGUAAAGAAGCACCGGCUAACUACGUG
rnacentral:rRNA from 1 species